GCUGUGAUGGCUGAGUGGUUAAGGCAUUGAAGUCAAAAUCCAAUAGGGUUCCCUUGCGCUGGUUCAAAUCCUGCUCACAGCG